rnacentral:rRNA from 1 species
AUGUACAUUCCUACAACAUAAUGUUAAUGCAUUGGAUCCCAAUAAAAAUCUGUAGUUAAGCACRCUCGGGAUAGAGUAGUAUUGGGAUGGGUGACCGCCCAGGAAGUCCUAUUGUUUUACAUG